rnacentral:misc_RNA from 1 species
UACCUUUAACUUGAUUUAUUUUUUAAUGUUUAUAUUAUUUGAAUAAAACAUUCAAAUAAUAUAAAAAAUAAUAUAUAUAUUGACAUGGACUAAACAAAGAUAUAUAUUAUUCUAUGUUGUAUAAACAAAUUGGCAAAAUAGAGAUGGAAGAUAAAAAUAUGGUCAAAGUAAUAAGAGUCUAUGGUAAAAAUUAUUUUUUUA